CCUACGGGUGGCAGCAGUGAGGAAUAUUGGUCAAUGGACGCAAGUCUGAACCAGCCAUGCCGCGUGCAGGAAGACGGCUCUAUGAGUUGUAAACUGCUUUUGUACGAGGGUAAAUCCCGAUACGUGUAUCGGGUUUCAACUGUCUUACGAAUAAGUAUCGGCUAACUCCGUGCCAGCAGCCGCGGUAAUACGGAGGGUUCAAGCGUUAUCCGGAGUUAUUGGGUGUAAAGGGUGCGUAGGCGGUUCGAUAAGUUAGAGGUGAAAGCCCGGGGCUCAACUCCGGCACUGCCUCUGAUACUGUCGGGCUAGAGUGUAGUAGCGGUAGGCGGAAUGUAUGGUGUAGCGGUGAAAUGCAUAGAGAUCAUACAGAACACCGAUUGCGAAGGCAGCUUACCAAACGACGACUGACGUUGAGGCACGAAAGCGUGGGGAGCAAACAGGAUUAGAUACCCGUGUAGUC
rnacentral:rRNA from 1 species